rnacentral:lncRNA from 1 species
UGUCAUCGUCGCAAGUUCCCAUCGUCGUCUACAAUCGUGAAGUCAUUGUCAAGCCUAGAUCUCGCAGCCUAUCUUAGUCAUCUCUAUACCUCAAACACCGAAACCGAGCCAACCCAAUUCGUUCAAUUGAGGGCUCCGGUUAACCAGAGGUGGUGGUUCAGCGUGAGUGACAGAAAGUGCUACACCGAGGGAUUUAGUUCAGCAUGUACACUUUAUAAACCACACACCAAUUAACAAAUAGUUUCAAUGGACCUCUGGCCCCUUUACACAAUAUGAAUCACUCAUCAAACUGAAUCAGGUCUCAACCCCCAGAGCAACAUAGAUAAGUUAUCGAGAUCCAUUUUGACAAAAUUGAACAUAUUUAAAGCCUAACCUUGUGGUUGCACCUAGAUUGACUCUAGGGUGCCUACGUACCCUUUUCGAAGGACCCAAGCCACACAUAGUUCUUAAUACAAUAAAUUGCAACACAUUAAAAUCCUCUAAGUGACCAAAAUUCAUGUUAUACCCAUAAGAACUUAAAACUCCUACAUAUUUUGCAACACAUUAAAAUCCUCUAAGUGACGAAAUUCAUGUUAUACCCAUAAGAACUUAAAACUUCGACACAUUUUUCUAAAACCGACUCUAACCAAUCAGUUGAAACUUAAACAAUAAUUUUGAUUACAAGACAAUAUUCAAACCAAUACAUAUGUAUCAAGAAAUUAUAUCAUUACCAAAAAGUUGGAGAUCCAUAAAAAAAUUGUAAAACAACAUUGGCCACGAGAAAACCUUUAUAUCAAUAUAAAUGGGUUAAAUCACACCCUCCUCAAUACUCCACAUUUACAAAUGAACUCAUGACUUAAGAAAACAGUUGUGAAUAGUAUAAAAUCCUUAAAACUUAGAAUAUCUCAAUCCAUUGUCUUAUAAAUAUGAAAAUAUGUAUUAAAAUUCUCACCAAUAAGUACCCAAGAACUCUGGCCACCCACGGUAGACAAAAUGAACAGGGUGGCGGGAACUAUCCUGACACCACAGGUGAAGAACAAAAUCAGCACGUGGAGCCAAAUUCGGGCAAUCACACAAGAAGAACCCCACGAUGUUUGUGCGGGCAUAUUCUGGCAACCGAACAUGUACAUGAUAGGUGCGAGGCAUUCUUGGCAACCACAUGGGUUGAGCAUCCCCAAAGCACGUACGUGCAUAGACUAAUCCGAAGGGAACUGGGGUAAAAUAACCAUGUCCGAAGACCACUAGGGAAGGGUACUUAUGAUGGGUUUGAAAACCGUUACCUAAAACUUUAACACCAUUUCCUCCAAUCCAAACCCAAGUAAAACCUAGCUACUCAAGCCGUUUCUAGAUUCGUAAACCAAGUUUUUCUCAAAUCUUUCGCAACUCAAGUAAAGCCCAAAAUGUUAAUAGUAUGAAAUCAAACUCUUAUUGAAAUCCAAUACCACAAAUGAAAUCCGAAAACCAUUAAUCUUAAUUAAUGAACCAAAAAGCAUUCUAGAUCAUAUCUCAAAUCAAAUCUCAAAUAUAACUUCAAAUGUAGUUUCAAUACGCCAUGAAAUCAUAACAAGAGUCAACAAAGCUUUCCAAUGAUAUUUACGUAAAAGCCCCAUAAACCUUAAUGGUAGCAAAAGCAAAUAUUCAUAACACACUUCAUAAGUCAUAAACAAGAACACACCAAAACCUUAUAAAAAAUCACGCAGUGAAACGAAUAAUAAUCAAAUAAAAGUUUGUAAUCAACUCAAGUAUUAAAUCAAAACAUCAUACUCUAAUCACAAAGCCUUAAGAGUCUCAAAACAAUUCCCACUGAAACAACAAUACAAAAUAUAGAUAUAAGAGCAAACAAAUGAAUCAUGAAUGUUUCCAAUAAAUUCAUAAGUAUUCCAAAGCAUUUCCCAAACCAAAACAUAAACUUAAUCAAAAUUAUGCACUUCGAUACAAGCACAAAUUAUAUAGGUCCUAAAAAAUUCAAUUAUAAAAACCAUUUGAAAACAUAUGUCUAAUAGCAGACACUUCCAAAUCAAUUGCUCCUGACCGAGCCGAUGAGUCCAAACAUCUAGGUCAACUGGGCCAGCGAGAUCCACAACCUCUAAUCUCCGAUUCGAAUGUUCUAAUAGGUCCAGUAAGGUCCAUUAAUUAUGUCCCAAAAGUUUCAUCACGAUCCGACGAUUGAAUCAUCGUCGACCAUCGACAAACUUAACCCCAACAUCGUUGAUUCGAGAUAUCCAAAUCUGUGAUUCUAAAUCCGCAAGCUCCCACACCCUCGUGGAAAUACGGGGAACAACAUAUCUGAAUAUGGGACCGAUCAGACCAUUCCAUCAUCUUAUUAUUUUUUAGAUGGAUACUCUAGGUAUAAUUAGAUUCCGAUUGCACCUGAAGAUCAGGAAAAGACAACAUUCACAUGCCCAUUCGGUAAUUUUGCAUAAAGGCGCAUGCCCUUUGGAUUAUGUAAUGACCCCGCUACCUUUCAACGUUGCAUGAUGAGUAUAUUUUCUAACAUGGUGGAGUGCUUCAUUGAGGUAUUCAUGGAUUGGAUGACUUUUCUAUUUUUGGCUCAUCCUUUGAUUCUUGUUUAUAUAAUUUGGCAUUAGUUUUGAAAAUAUGUGAAGAAACAAACUUGGUUUUGAAUUGGGAGAAGUGUCAUUUUAUGGUGGAAGAAGGGAAAGUCAUGGGGCAAAAAAUUUCAGCUAAAGGCAUAGAGGUUGAUAAGGCAAAAAUUGAUACCAUAGAGAAAUUGCCACCGCCCACUACAGUAAAAGGGAUCCGAAGCUUUUUGGGUCAUGUUGGAUUCUAUCGGCGGUUUAUCAAAGAUUUUUCCAAAAUCACGAAGCCGUUGUGCAAUCUCCAUCUCAAAGAUGUCGAAUUUGAUUUUGAUUUGAAGUGUUUGGAGGCAUUUAAUAUCUUGAAGGAGAAGCUUACUUCUACACCUAUCAUUGUCGCACCAGAUUAGGACUUACCCUCCCUUUGAGAUUAUGUGUGAUGCUAGUGACUAUGCGGUGGUCAAAGUAGAAAUAAAUUACUUCAUGUAAUCUAUUAUGUCAGCCGUACUUUGAAUGAUGCCUAGCUGAAUUAUACCACCACGGAGAAAGAAUUGUUAGCAAUAAUUUUUUCCUUGGAUAAAUUUUGAUCCUACUUGAUUGGAGCAAAUGUGAUAGUGUAUACCGAUCCCUCAGCUUUAAAGUAUUUACUUUCAAAGAAGGAUGCAAAACCAAGAGUAAUCUGCUGGUUAUUGUUGCUCCAAGAAUUCGAUUUGGAAAUUCGAGACAAAAAGGGAUUUGAAGAUGUGGUGGUUGACCAUCUUUCGCUGCUGGUCUGUCAGGCAGAGGAAGGUGAUAAUGCCGCACCCAUUAUGGAGAUUUUUCCUGAUGAACAGUUGUAUGCUAUUCGAUCUUCUGAAGGUCCCUGGUAUGCUGACUUUGUGAAUUAUUUAGCUAGUAGUAUCAUUCCAGCUGAUUUAUCAUUUCAUCAGAAGAAGAAGUUUCUCCUUGGUUAAACAUUAUUAUUGGGAUGAUCCGUAUUUGUGGGUCAUGUCAUCUUAUGUCACUUAUCCCUUGGGCCUAAUAGCCUUUUGGGCUAUUUUGUCAUUUUCCUUUUAAAUCAUAUUUAAAAGUUCAAUCCAAUAUUUCUAUAUGUCAAUAUUAAUUCCAUAAUCAAUCUUUUAAUUAUAAUUUAACUAUUAAAUUAUAAUUAUAGUCUUAUUUAAUUGACCUAGUUGAACUAUUUGACUUUGGUCAAUUGCUCCGGUCAACAUGUUGACUUUUGACUGUUGACUUUGACAUUUGAUUAUCAACCAUUGACUUGUGUCUCCUCAUUUCAUUUCUACUCAUUUGUACCUCUAAUCACAUUCUUUGGGUGUGCAGAUCCGUAGGUUCCCUUUAGCAAGGUAGUGGGUUGACUCAACUCCUCAAAGAUAAUAUAUGAGUUAAAUUCCACAAUUUAAUUCUUCCUAUUAAUAAAGGUUAAUUGAAACCUUUUAGGACAUCCACAAACCAUGGUUGUCGCCUAGCAGCAAGUCAUGGUUAUCCGAGCUAAAUGAGACGUUGUGAAAGAUCCUAUUCAAAUUGGAAUGACCGUGCAAUUCAAUCCUUCUCUUAUGUCAAUACUCUUUAUUCACAUUAUUAGAUCAUGGAAUCUGAUUGUCAAUAUCCUAAUGUGAAUCAUUCCUUUUAUAUGAUUAUCCUUUUAAGAUUUGAAGACUUUUUCUUUCAAGUCUUAUCCACUACUCUACGCAGAGAUUUGACCAAUCAUAUCUCGGAGUAUUCUCUCUCCUUUACUGAGAGUAGAGAUUCCUUGUUGUAUGUUCAUUUGCUUCCAUGACUCUAUUGAGAAUCCUGAUGAGAACCUUUAAGCUAUGCCUAAUUCAACAUGACCGUAUAGUGCCCUCAAAGAUUAAUAACAUAGCCACAAAACAUCUAUGAUGCCUCAGGUCUAAGGAUUAGUUUGCACCAUUGCAAUUUAUGAGUUCCAACUUGACAUGUGAGUAAAGACUUUCAUGCUGUAACUCAUGUGUUGGAUCGCAUUCGGUGUACUUGUUCUUCUACAAACACCUACACACAUGUCGAUGUGUGUCCACACUUAAUGGCUUGAGACCUUGCUAUUCCCUACAUAUAAAGACGAUACUGUGUGUACUGGUCUUUGCGGAAUAUUAAAGCCCAAUCAAUAUUUCUAUGAUCGGGAACAUAUUAAGGAUUUAGGGAUGAUGAGAAGUCUCCAUGUAUGCAAUCUCAUUACAUAGCUCUCAUAUCCACUUGUGUAUUCCUUGGACUAUGGUUGUUCUACAUAUGGAAAGAUAAUAUAAGAUGAUUUAAUGUAUAAAACAACCUUUCUUGCCCAUUGAUAACAUAAUAUGUCUUUUAUCAAAUAUGUCCUUAACUCUAACCAUUACAUAAUUAGUUGGCUUUAAGGGCAAAUUUCUAAUACGGCAUUGCCACACAUUGGCAUGUGGGGGGCAUUUUGGUGCCUCCAAAACUUCAGCCAAUGUAUUGCAAUCCUGAUUUUUCUGGCCAACUUUGUUCAAGGAUGCCUAUGCAUUUGUAGUUGCCUAUGAUCGAUGCCAACGCAUUGGAAACAUUUCUAGCAGAAAAUCAGGACUAGCAAAAGAUAGGUUUGAGUUAGUUUGAUAGAUUAAUAUCUUGCAUAUAUAAUCUAUCUAUAUUUGCUUUGUUUUUGUAUGAACUUGGUUAGUUUAAUGUGUUUAGUGAAGAUUUUGUAGGCAUUUGUUCCUAGUGAGGGAUUGGAACCAAAACUAUGAUUUUGGAAGCUUAAGGGACCGAAAGGGGGAGAUUUAUCAACUCAACAAAAUCUCAGGAACUCACUCUAUCAUUUUAUCAAACACCUGGAGUGCAUCUGUGCAAGUGUCAAAUUAUAACCACAACUGGUCUCAAUGACCAGCGCUAGAAAGAUAGAGUUAGAGGGGUUUACCGUUAAUUUUGGAAACUAAAGUCAUUUGCAGUUGGUAAUUUUGGUUGAGCAGUGGGCUGCAUUGGAUUGGCUGAGAGUUGAAACAAAUAUUCUUCUAUUUAGCUAUCUGUAUGAGUUGGAAAAGAAGAAUUCAGUAGGUGCAACACAAAGAGAACCUUGAAAGCCGAGUUGAAGAAAUUCAUUAAUAACUCACCGUUGUAAUUGGAAUCAAGAUCCAGUUCUAAUAUGCAAAUUGGAGUUGUAGUGAUUGUAGGUUGAAGUGAUUGAACAGAGAGCACAUGGGCAACAAAGUCAAGAUAAGCCCUCUUGACAACCCUCAGGUUAAGGAUUUGUUGCAUUGCCAUGGCACCACAGUGGGGGACCCGUCAACAAGUUCAUCUUCCAUUAGCUCUUCCGGAG